GGACGCGACGACGAGGGCUGCGGCCGCGGAUCGGGCCGCAAUGAGAACGCGGCGGGGCCCAGCGGAUGCUGUUCUCAUUGAUUGAGUUGGUUGAUGAAUUUGGAGAGCUUGAAGAUUAGCUGAUGGCUACAAACAAUUCACUGGUUUGAUCUAGUGUGAAUACAAAGCUUGACAUCAUUUUUGUUGAAAAAAAAAAAGAUUCUGCAGAUCUCUCAUCAGAUAGAUAGAACUGUUGCAUUGUAACUGGUUCAUGAAACCAAUCCAUCUUUGUACCCAUUGUUGUCAUACGUGUAUGUCGUAUUCCUUAAACCUCUUGAUUGUUGAUGUUGUAGUAAUGAUCUUGUUGUAAAUUUACUUUGCUCUCAUUUACUGGAAAUUGCCUGUCAAAAAACAUAAGUCCAAAGCUUCCUUUUGAUA